rnacentral:rRNA from 1 species
CCUGGUUGAUCCUGCCAGUGGUCAUAUGCUUGUUUCAAAGCCUAAGCCAUGCAUGUCUAAGCACAGCUUGUAAAAGUGAAGCCGCGAAUAGCUCAUUACAACAGCCGUUGUUUAUUGGAUCUCCAUUCUCUACUUGGAUAACUGUGGUAAUUCUAGAGCUAAUACAUGCGACCAAGGCCUGAACUUACGUGAUGGCUGCAUUUAUUAGAACAAGACCAACCGGCCUCGGCCGUUCUCUGGUGACUCUGAAUAACUGAGUGAAUCACAUGGUCUAGCACCGGUGAUGUAUCUUUCAAGUGUCUGCCUUAUCAACUUUCGAUGGUAGUUUAUGUGCCUACCAUGGUUGUAACGGGUAACGGAGAAUAAGGGUUUGACUCCGGAGAGGGAGCCUGAGAAACGGCUACCACUUCUAAGGAAGGCAGCAGGCGCGCAAAUUACCCAUUCUCGGCACGAGGAGGUAGUGACGAAAAAUACCAAGCUGGGAUCCAUUGGGUUCCGGCAUUGGAAUGAGAACAAUAUAAAUCUUUUAACGAGGAUCUAGUGGAGGGCAAGUCUGGUGCCAGCAGCCGCGGUAAUUCCAGCUCCGCAAGUGUAUAUCUAUGUUGCUGCGGUUAAAAAGCUCGUAGUUGGAUCUGCGCGUUUAGCGUCCGGUUCGACUUUUGGUCGUUACUGGAACGCGACACAGAUGUGCUGGUUUGCCGUUGAUGCUCUUAAUCGGGUGUCAGUGGCGGCUAGCGAGUUUACUUUGAAAAAAUUAGAGUGCUCAAAACAGGCGUUUCGCCUGAAUAUUUCUGCAUGGAAUAAUAGAAUAGGACUUCGAUUCUAUUCUGUUGGUUUUCGGAAUGCGAAGUAAUGAUUAAGAGGGACAGACGGGGGCAUUCGUACUGCGACGUUAGAGGUGAAAUUCUUGGAUCGUCGCAAGACGUACUACUGCGAAGGCAUUUGCCAAGAAUGUUUUCAUUAAUCAAGAACGAAAGUUAUGGGUUCGAAGGCGAUCAGAUACCGCCCUAGUCAUAACCGUAAACGAUUCAAACUGGGCGCCCGACGGUGUUUUUAUUGACCCGUCGGGAACCCUCCCGGAAACGAAAGUGUUCGUGUUCCGGGGGAAAUAUGUCUGCAAAGAGGAAACUUAAAGGAAUUGACGGAAGGGCACCACCAGGGGUGGAGCCUGCGGCUUAAUUUGACCCAACACGGGGAAACUCACCCGGCCCGGACACCGUAAGGAUUGACAGAUUGAGAGCUCUUUCUUGAUUCGGUGGGUGGUGGUGCAUGGCCGUUCUUAGUUGGUGGAGUGAUUUGUCUGGUUUAUUCCG